rnacentral:pre_miRNA from 1 species
CGGCGGUCCCUCCAGGCGCAGGGCAGCCACUGCCCACCGCACACUGCGCUGCUCCGGACCCACUGUGCGUGUGACAGCGGCUGAUCUGCCCCUGGGCAGCGCGACC